UGUUGCCCUCAGCCGCAUGUUGGAGUUACCUCAAGGGGGUCACUUCAGUUGGAUUUAUCUCCCACCUCUGGCUGAGCUCUGCCAGCCUCACCUUGCAGUCCUUGCCAAAGCCACCGCCCGGGCUCUGAACUUGCUGAUCUUUGCAAGGGAGUCUGAGCAGCAGCAGUAACAUUGCGCAAGUUCAGAGUGUUAUCUGAAGUUACCGCAAAGGUGAUGAUUCCCCAGUCUGUGCCCAGGCAAAGGAAAGCUGGAUGCAGAUGGCAGAGGAGAGCUGCCCUCUGAAUUAUUCAGAGCUCUUCAGCACCCACCAGAGACCUCGGGGAACCAAAGUACAAGCCUCUACUCCAGGAACCAUUGCCAAGGAGAUCAUUAUUCAUUAACUCUGGGAAAUACCAGAGACACCCAAAGCAUUCAAUUUUUACAUCUGUGGAGGAAGAUGUGGGCACCAGGACAGAGCUCCCACUGGAACAGUGUUUCUGUGGUUCUGAAACAGUACCCGUGUUUCUCGGAUGUGGGUUUCCUGUCCAUCUUGUCCUGU